rnacentral:rRNA from 1 species
GUCUAUGUGGUACCAUCCUGAAAGUGUCCAAUCUUGUCUGAUCUUGGAUGUUAAGCAGGGUCAGGCCUGGUUAGUAUUUGAAUGGGAGAAAUGCAGAAACAAUGGUCU